UGGGGAAUUUUGGACAAUGGGCGCAAGCCUGAUCCAGCCAUGCCGCGUGAGUGAAGAAGGCCUUCGGGUUGUAAAGCUCUUUCGGCGGGGACGAAAUGGUUCGUGCCAAUACCACGGACUGAUGACGGUACCUGAAGAAGAAGCACCGGCUAACUACGUGCCAGCAGCCGCGGUAAUACGUAGGGUGCAGGCGUUAAUCGGAAUUACUGGGCGUAAAGCGUGCGCAGGCGGUUUGUUAAGACAGAUGUGAAAUCCCCGGGCUUAACCUGGGAACUGCGUUUGUAACUGGCAGACUGGAGUGUGGCAGAGGGGGGUGGAAUUCCAAGUGUAGCAGUGAAAUGCGUAGAUAUUUGGAGGAACACCGAUGGCGAAGGCAGCCCCCUGGGCUAACACUGACACUGAGGCACGAAAGCGUGGGGAGCAAACAGGAUUAGAUACCCAAGUAGUCCCUGAGCGGGCUGGCAAGGCGCAU
rnacentral:rRNA from 1 species